UGGGCAACCUGCCCCUCAGCUCUGGGAUAACCCCCGGGGAAACCGGGGCUAAUACCGGAUACUCCGGUCGAACCGCAUGGCUCGAUCGGGAAAGCUCCGACGGUCUGGGGUGGGCCCGCGGCCUAUCAGCUUGUUGGUGGGUAACGGCCUACCAAGGCGACGACGGGUAGCUGGUCUGAGAGGACGACCAGCCACACUGGAACUGAGAUACGGUCCAGACUCCGUACGGGA
rnacentral:rRNA from 1 species